GGCCCCAUAGUUCAGUGGUAGAAUAUACGAUUCCAAUCCAGUGUGGUGUUAUCGUGCGGUCGUCCGUUCAAUCCGGGCUGGGGUCA